UACGUAGGGGGCUAGCGUUGUCCGGAAUCAUUGGGCGUAAAGCGCGUGUAGGCGGUCUGGUAAGUCCGCUGUGAAAGCCGGGGGCUCAACCCUCGGAUGCCGGUGGAUACUGUCGGGCUUGAGUACGGAAGAGGCGAGUGGAAUUCCUGGUGUAGCGGUGAAAUGCGCAGAUAUCAGGAGGAACACCAAUUGCGAAGGCAGCUCGCUGGGACGUUACUGACGCUGAGACGCGAAAGCGUGGGGAGCAAACAGG
rnacentral:rRNA from 1 species